GGAAUCUUGCGCAAUGGGCGAAAGCCUGACGCAGCGACGCCGCGUGCGGGAGGACGGCCUUCGGGUUGUAAACCGCUGUUGCCCGAGACGAAUUGGUCUUUCGAGAUCGUUGACGGUAUCGGGUGAGGAAGCACCGGCUAACUCCGUGCCAGCAGCCGCGGUAAUACGGAGGGUGCGAGCGUUGUCCGGAAUCACUGGGCGUAAAGGGCGCGUAGGCGGCUCAUGCAGUCGGGGGUGAAAGUCCGGGGCUCAACCCUGGAUCGGCCUUACGAGACGCGUGGGCUUCGAGCACAGUAGAGGCGGGUGGAAUUCCGGGUGUAGCGGUGGAAUGCGUAUAGAUCCGGAAGAACACCGGUGGCGAAGGCGGCCCGCUGGGCUGUGGCUGACGCUGAGGCGCGACAGCGUGGGGAGCAAACAGGA
rnacentral:misc_RNA from 1 species